GGGAAACGCAUUAAAUAUUAGAGGAAAACGACGACACAACAUUAACAUGUAACGCACACAGCAAAGGACUAAGCAUUAGAAAAAAUCCGAUGAGAAUAACCAAUAUAACAUCAAAACCAAAUACAUGAAUUUGGGAUAGAAAAGUCCCGUGAAACGUCUUAUAGUAAUGUGAAUUCACACUCAAAUAUAGGAGAAAACAAAC
rnacentral:lncRNA from 1 species